rnacentral:hammerhead_ribozyme from 1 species
AGCAGCUGACGAGUCCCUAAUAGGACGAAAUGCGCAUAUUGGAU